rnacentral:rRNA from 1 species
GUACACUCCUGCGGGAGGCAGCAGUGGGGAAUUUUGGACAAUGGGCGAAAGCCUGAUCCAGCCAUGCCGCGUGCAGGAUGAAGGCCUUCGGGUUGUAAACUGCUUUUGUACGGAACGAAACGGCCUUUUCUAAUAAAGAGGGCUAAUGACGGUACCGUAAGAAUAAGCACCGGCUAACUACGUGCCAGCAGCCGCGGUAAUACGUAGGGUGCAAGCGUUAAUCGGAAUUACUGGGCGUAAAGCGUGCGCAGGCGGUUAUGUAAGACAGUUGUGAAAUCCCCGGGCUCAACCUGGGAACUGCAUCUGUGACUGCAUAGCUAGAGUACGGUAGAGGGGGAUGGAAUUCCGCGUGUAGCAGUGAAAUGCGUAGAUAUGCGGAGGAACACCGAUGGCGAAGGCAAUCCCCUGGACCUGUACUGACGCUCAUGCACGAAAGCGUGGGGAGCAAACAGGAUUAGAAACCCGGGUAGUCCCA